AUCAAGCUGAAAAGUCCCACAUAGGACGAAGUGUGCAUCCUGGAU
rnacentral:hammerhead_ribozyme from 1 species